ensembl:ncRNA C54H2.8 ncRNA
UUUUUUAUUAGUUUGUCGUACUUUGAAAAUGCGUUUUUCUUCUCCCAACAAAGUGCUAACUCAGCCGAUCCUCUUUGAGACGAGCGAACUCAGAACCUCUAAUUCGAUUUUCCAGAGAAACAU